ensembl:lncRNA
UUUUUAAUGAAGUCAGGAUCCAUUUUCCCUGCCCUUCUGUCCUGUUUAGAGCCGUCCAGCCACAGCUGACGCUGGGAAACAUUCCUGAAUGAAUUAAGAACAGCCGGGGAGAAAGCGGAGUCGGGUGGAGGCGAAAGACCAGCGGCAGGUGGACAGAGGGAGGAAGGACAGAGAGGAGGGGUCGCCCCCACAAGGGCCAGGCCGGGAGUCUGGAGGAGCCCCCUGCCGGGAAUGCAGCUGGGGAAAGAGGUUAUUAGGUGCAGUCCUGAGAACGGGGCAGGGAUGAGAGGCAGGGAAUUUGUUACUCGAAAACUGGGCUCGACUCGGUGGACGUUGCGCCAAGAGACACAGUCAAGCCAAACAGCGGGAGAAGGAAGCAUUUAUUACUUGCAGCAAUUCGCUCUGUUUUUCUUCACCCUUGCCUUCCAUUCUGGGAGGGAAGAUCCACCUCAACAGGGUGGGCUCCUCUCACGAGCCCACCUCCGGCGGCCCCCUCCCUCGGACCUUGCCAAGACACCGAGACGAGCUCCAGGACAGGACUCUCCACUUGCCUUCUGGACUGACAUCCACACACUGGCCCACAUUUCAUCCCUCAGUUGCAAGGGGUCACGAUGUCUCAUCUCCUUGAUCUGAAUGUCACGAGGGAGCCUUGGGAUUGCUCAGACGUGAAAGGAAGCCUGUCAUUCUGCUGGGUUGGUCGGUGGUUUCUCCUCUCUGCUGCCUUCCUGCAAAGCGGAUCGCUGUCAAGAUUGAAAAAUGUAAACAUGUCUGACAAAGCCCCCUUUCACAGAGAGCUAUGUGCUUGCUGUUGCAGCCAAUGCUGUGAUGAGUAUCCCUGCCCCAUGUGGCCGGGCAGGGAGACGUUCCCAUGGGACCAUCCACGACGUCAACCUCCACUGCAAUCCCUCCCCUCCUGGGGUCUCCUGCAGACUCUCCUUGGAGUUCCUGGGCUGAGCAUUUGCCAGAAGCUAGAGUCAGAUGGGGACUAGGUUCAAAUACCAGUUGCUCCAUCAACAUCUCUCCCUGCGUCAGUGUUCUCAUCCCUACAAAGGAGACGAUAAUCAUGGUACCACUUCCGGAGUUGUCUUGAGUAUUACAUGCAAUAACGUGUUAUAGCCCCUGGAUCAGGGGAAGGACUCAGGAUGGCUCGCUGCCCUCUCCUUCCCCCUCUGAUAUCCCAUCUACCCUAUGGAGUCCCAAGCUUUGCAUGUGGGCCCUGGUCUAGUCGUCUGCACCCCGCAGCUUCCCCGGAUGUGGAUGUGGUGGUGCACAAUAAAUAAAUGGCCCCUGCAUGUGCCGUGAGGCGCAGUCCUCCAGCUUUGGCCUGACCCCCACUCCGCUAGGCCUGGGGGAUGGGGAGGAGUAGAGGUGCCUUUCUCUGGAUGGUCCACAGC